GUGAAUGAGACCUCUGGUUUCAAACACCUGCUGCUUUCAGCUGUGCGCCUUUGGGCUUGCACGUUGGACGUGGCAUAUUCACAACACACCUGUGCACCUUUCAGAUGUCUGGGGCUGAAAAGCCCCGGCGUUUGCCCUUUACACAAAACACAGUCUUUGAAUGUCAUAUAAACUUAACAAAUA
rnacentral:misc_RNA from 1 species